GGAGGAAAGUAGGGGAUCGUAAGACCUUGUGCUUUUGGAGCGGCCGAUGCCUGAUUAGCUAGUUGGUAAGGUAAAGGCCUACCAAGGCUUCGAUCAGUAGUUGGUCUGAGAGGACGACCAGCCACACUGGGACUGAGACACGGCCCAGACUCCUACGGGAGGCAGCAGUGGGGAAUUUUGGACAAUGGGGGAAACCCUGAUCCAGCCAUGCCGCGUGAGUGAAGAAGGCCUUCGGGUUGUAAAGCUCUUUCAGUCGGGAAGAAAAGGUUGCGACUAAUAAUCGUGAUUCAUGACGGUACCGACAGAAGAAGCACCGGCUAACUACGUGCCAGCAGCCGCGGUAAUACGUAGGGUGCGAGCGUUAAUCGGAAUUACUGGGCGUAAAGGGUGCGCAGGCGGUCUUGUAAGUCAGAUGUGAAAUCCCCGGGCUUAACCUGGGAACUGCGUUUGAAACUACAAGGCUAGA
rnacentral:rRNA from 1 species